AACCUAAAACUAAAACUAAAAAAACAGAAAAAGAAAAAAACUAAAUCUAAACCUAAAACUAAACUAAAACUAAACCUAUAAACAUAAAACUAAUCCUAAAACUAAAACUAAAUCUAAACUAAACAUAAACCUAAAACUAAAAAAACAGAAAAAAGGAAAAAAAAGGAAGAAGAUCACCUGCAGGGUGGAGGAGGGGGGCGGUGCGGCCUGGGGCGNNNNNNNNNNUUCCUUUUUCCUCUUCUUCUUCUCCUCCUCUCCUCUUUUUUCUUCUUCUUCUUCUUCCUCUUCUUCUUUUUUCUUCUCCUCCUCCUCUUCUUCUUCUUCUCCUGAUCUCCUCUUUUUCUCUUUUUCUUCUUUCCUAAAACUAAACUAAACCUAAAACUAAAACUAAAAAAACAGAAAAAGAAAAAAACUAACUCUAAACCUAAAACUAAACUAAAACUAAACCUAUAAACCUAAAACUAAUCCUAAAACUAAAACUAAAUCUAAACUAAACAUAAACCUAAAACUAAAAAAACAGAAAAAAGGAAAAAAAGGAAGAAGAUCACCUGCAGGGUGGAGGAGGGGGGCGGUGCGGCCUGGGG
rnacentral:lncRNA from 1 species